rnacentral:rRNA from 1 species
AUUGAACGCUGGCGGCAUGCCUUACACAUGCAAGUCGAACGGUAACAGGUCUUCGGAUGCCGACGAGUGGCGAACGGGUGAGUAAUACAUCGGAACGUGCCUAGUAGUGGGGGAUAACUACUCGAAAGAGUGGCUAAUACCGCAUGAGAUCUACGGAUGAAAGCAGGGGAUCGCAAGACCUUGUGCUACUAGAGCGGCCGAUGGCAGAUUAGGUAGUUGGUGGGAUAAAAGCUUACCAAGCCGACGAUCUGUAGCUGGUCUGAGAGGACGAUCAGCCACACUGGGACUGAGACACGGCCCAGACUCCUACGGGAGGCAGCAGUGGGGAAUAUUGGACAAUGGGCGCAAGCCUGAUCCAGCAAUGCCGCGUGCAGGAUGAAGGCCUUCGGGUUGUAAACUGCUUUUGUACGGAACGAAAAGCCCCGGGUUAAUACCCUGGGGUCAUGACGGUACCGUAAGAAUAAGCACCGGCUAACUACGUGCCAGCAGCCGCAGUAA